rnacentral:rRNA from 1 species
AAGUUAAAUCCAGUUAGAGGAACCUGUCCUAUAAACGAUACUCCACGAAAGACCUAACCUACUUUUGUCUACUUCAAUUUGUAUACCGCUGUAUUCAGAGAUUUCUUAUAAGAAUUUUCUCUAGACCAAUAAUUCUUUAUUAAUUAAUUCAAGUCAGGGUGCAGUAAACAAGUAGGAAAGAGAUGGGUUACUAUCAGUUUUUGCUGUUAACGGAUCUCAAGAUGAAAUCUUUGAUUGAAGAAGGAUUUAAUAGUAAUAAUAUUUUAAAAAGAUAUUUUGAAUAGAGAAAUAACUUAUGUACAAAC